rnacentral:lncRNA from 1 species
AUUUACUUGAUGAAUGUAACAAUGAAAUUUGUUAUUUGUAUGGCAUGCUUAUGAACCCUCUGUUUGACAUGUAAUACUGCGGAACACGCAGUCACGAAUGAGAAAAGCAAACGUCUUUUAUUAAACGAUCCAGAUGCCAUUCUUUCCAGACUAACACACAUGGAGAAUGAAAUAUCACAGUUAAAGGUAGAAAAUCAAAAUCUACGUCAGAUUAUA